rnacentral:misc_RNA from 1 species
GAAUUGCCUUCUCUAGAAUGUACAGUUUCCAUUUUGACUAAUUAUGAAAUGGCUAACAAUUAUCUUGAUUGGGAGAUUGGGAAACAUGGUUUAAUUAUUGAGUUUAUUGAUCCUAAUAACAAUGUAAGGCGAAGCGCCACAUAUUUGCCUGAGGUGGCUGCUCAUGAAGGUUGGACAAAAGUGGAGGCAAUUGACUCACUGAUGCAUAAAGCGGGUUACAAUGGCCAUAUCACUGAGUCACUUCGGAAGUCUAUACAAUUGACACGCUAUCAGAGCACAUUAUUUACUAUGACCUAUAGUGACUAUGUCUCAUAUGUGAAGGCAGC